rnacentral:rRNA from 1 species
GACGAACGCUGGCGGUGUGCUUAACACAUGCAAGUCGAACGGUAAGGCCCUUUCGGGGGUCCACGAGUGGCGAACGGGUGAGUAACACGUGAGUAACCUGCCCUCAUCUCUGGGAUAACAGUCGGAAACGGUUGCUAAUACUGGAUAUGAGCUUGCAAGGCAUCUUGUGGGUUGGAAAGAUUUUUUUGGUUGGGGAUGGACUCGCGGCCUAUCAGCUUGUUGGUGAGGUAGUGGCUCACCAAGGCUUCGACGGGUAGCCGGCCUGAGAGGGCGACCGGCCACAUUGGGACUGAGAUACGGCCCAAACUCCUACGGGAGGCAGCAGUGGGGAAUAUUGCACAAUGGACGGAAGUCUGAUGCAGCAACGCCGCGGGCGGGAGGACGGCCUUCGGGUUGUAAACCGCUUUCAAUUGUGACGAAGCUUUUUGUGACGGUAGCAGUAGAAGAAGCACCGGCUAACUACGUG